CAAUGUGGCACCUCAAAUGCUGAGUUGCCGGCUAUUUCACAUCCUAGUACUAAAGAACUCUCUUGAAUAGCAUAAUGUGACUAUGAACACUAAUAAAAUGGAAAACUUUCAACAAAGAAAACCCCGUUAAAGAAGAAUAUACGUCAACAUUCAAUCUUCAAUUAUAAAUAUGAAUGUCCAAGCGACAUACAAGUCUCAAAAUAUCUCAAACUCUAUACUCAACAAAUUGUGACUUGAAUGUAGAGUUGUCUCAUUGGCACUGAUACCACAUCUUCGCAUUAAUAUUUAUAGCUGAAUAAAAAGUGAGACUACCAAAAUUAUAACUCUAUCGAAACUGCAAUCCUAUACUGAAGAGAUUUAAAGAUUUUUGCAUAGUGAAGUUUUAUUAUUAAGUUGCGGUAUUUGUAUUAAUAUUUACUCGGUUUGUAAGACGGCCAAGCUAUUUACUAUUUAUCCUCACACUGAAUGCGCAUGUCAAGUCUUUUUAGUAAAACGCAAUCUACAACCAAUUGUGUAUUACCAGUUAGGUUUAAUUACUUUGUACCUAAUAGUAUUCAGCAAAUGCCAAAUAUUUUAGAUUGAGAUAAAUUUAAAAGACUAACGAGUCAACAUUGGUCUAGAUUGCAAAUGAUAGGACUAUUUUAUUUAUGCGGAUGAACUGAUGAUACCCAAGAUUAUUAAACUGACGUGACGGAUUAAUACGUCGAUACCAAAAGCAACAGACAAGGUUUUACACGGUUUAAACAACCUUCUUUGUUUAAAAGAGAUACAAGAUGACCUCAAAAGGUUACUGUUGAAAAUGAUGGAAAUCACGUUUAAAAAUCUUUUCAAAUAUGACUGGUAUGUUGAACAACAAGGGAGGUGCUUGUGAGAGAUAUUUUGUGAAAUACAAAUAAACAACAAAAAAUUAUAGUUGAUUGAUAAAAAACUAAAGGUAUUUUUUUUUUACAAUUCUGAUAUAAGAUUCCACUAUAAUACCCAAUUAAUACGUUAAAAAAUAUCGAAGAAGUUGCAUUUAAAAUUAUUAAAACAAUAUGGAUUAAUGUAAAAAAAAAUCAUAGCGUAAUUAGCGCAAUAAUAUGCGCAUUGUCCAAAAACUGGAAAUAAGGACAUCUGAAUGCCAUUAUGGUUUAAGUUCUGUUUUUUUUUUAUUUCCUUAUACCAAAAUCAUUUCUAUAUAAAGUAUGUAUGUGUUCUUAUUAUAUUUUUUAUAUCAAUGUUCAGAAUUAGACUGUAUUAUGUAGUCAUGGAAAUAAGAUGUAAUAAACAACUAUAGCC
rnacentral:lncRNA from 1 species